GGUCAACAUGGCCAUGUCCUCAAUCUUGUCGAAUUUUGGAGGAUUCUGUUGCAGAAUCUGUGAGUCCUUGACUGUCGCAGUCUAGAAAAAAACAGACUUUCUCAAUAAAUAAAAUAUGUAUCAUCACAUCAAUUCAGACAUCUCUUUUGGCUUGUACUUCCACGAGAUUCACCUCAGUAUUUCUUUCAAACCAUUUGAGAACAUGCCUCUUGUUGCCAGAUGGUAACAGUCAUUUGUUUCGUCCCUCUGUUCCUCAGUGUUUUGACAGGAGACAUUUCAACUACAGUAGUUCUUGCACCCCCAUUAAAACUUGUAUUUACACUCACUUAAGGAUGGCUGCUUUAGAUUUCACGUAGAUUAACACUCAGAUAAACACUCUGAUAGGACUCCACACCCACACUCACAUAUAGCCUUUUACUCAUGUAACACAACUCAACAGACUAACCAGGUGGAGUUUAAAAUUCUCAGACAGAUAGUUGGCAAAACCAGAAAAUGAUGAGGAUCUAGCAUUAAAGCUAGCAUGUACCUACUUGGUAGGUAAAGGCACAAUGUUUUGGCCCUGAAUUAAUGAUGAAUACUGGCCUCUGGGCCCCAAAAUAAACGUUAUGUAUCUACACUUUAAAAAAUCCAUCCAAAACCUGCAUCCAGAUGAACCUCACAGUAGUUUUUGCAGUACUUUUUUGACAUUUUAAGCUCAUGUUGAUGAGCAUUGUGUGAGGCUUAGAAAAUACAAACCAAGUUUAUGAAUGUUGACAUGUAUUUACUCACCUUCCCUCUCUGUGUCUCCACGGUGACCUUGUCUCCAUCUCUGCUGGUGAUGGUUGCCUUCACAAACUCUUCCACUGGAUCUGGGACGAAGCAUUCCUUCUUUAUGUCAAAGAGACGUGUGGAGGCUUCCAUACGCUCCUUGUCCGACUUCCUCAGGUAUGGGGCAGCUGCCCCAAACACAGACAUCUCUGCAUCCCCCAUGGCUGCACUAAUUUACAUUUGUUUAUUAGUGAUUGAUCAUGACUCUCAAUUUUCACCAUGAAAUGUAAUGUUUUACAAUACUUUCCAUAGUUGGUUCCCACAAUAUAAGUAUGACCCUAUCUGUUAGAAUCACACUUUGACUUUUUAAAAACAUCAGUUUAUAAGCCAUAUCUCAAGAAUAUUUAAUUCAAAAGAAAUUACCCGUAGGAUCAAGUCAGAUGUCAGGUGAGCUCAGACUUCAGAGUGUUGUUCAGUGAUGCACCUGAAGUGGGCAGAGAAAACCAUCAAUUAGAUAUCAAUGUUGAUUUAAAAUGUUUUAAAUCAGAAGAUCUUACUCACAGGGGCAUUUCCUGUUUUUCAUAUUAGUAGUAUUAGCUCCAUCAUAUUUUAAAAGUGUGCUCUUCGAGCAAUCCUUUGUAUUCAAAUAAAGUUAUGAAAACAUCAAAUCAAGUGGGAGAAAUGUUGUGUUAGGAAAUGUAGUGCAGACUUACAGAGGCCAGGUGAAGAGGGAGCAGCCACUAGACCUGCAGGGAGAGCAGGGAUCAAAUAUAUAACCCCUGGUAACCCUACCUUACAAGGCCAAGGACACCACCCUGACCUGCUGACACAUAUGCACACAUAGCUACACACUCACUCACACAUAUACACAAAGACAACAACAGGUACACUUUUUGAACAUGUCAUUUAACCACACACACACACACACACACACACACACACACACACAAAUGUGGUAAUCGCCUUCACUUUCAUCACUUGUGACAGGGCUCUCUAUGGUAUCAUGAUGUCUGGCUGCCCUCUAUGCUCACCACCAAAUAAUGUGACUUUUCGGGAGCAGUGCCAGCAUAGCUUGCCUCUGACUCACCCCAGCACAGCCUCUCUAUCUCGAAUUAUUCCACACUUUUGCCUGUCAUCUCUUCUGCUUAAUUCUUUUUCCAUGUGAGGGUUUGUUGUGGACAGAAACCAGGUGCUAUUUAUUGCCUGUGAGGAGAGACAAAGAGCGGCUGAGUGGAACAAUGGUCAGAAUGGUCAAAAAUAAAUUGAUGUGUCAAUAAAUAAAGUGCUCAUGUCAUUUUUGAGUCAUCCUUCUGGAGUAAAAAGAUGAAAUAAAAUAGUUUCAACAGGGGCAUAAGUCUCUACCCAGUCACCAUGUCCUCACUUAUCACUGCCCAGAGACUGCACCUCCAAAGCUGCACAGAUGAUGUCUUUGCUAUCUCAAUGACCAAUCUUAAAGUAGAUAAGCAUGAUUGAACUCAACAGAUCUUCCAAAGAU